ACCAAAUCCAACAACACAUACACCACCAGGUCCAACACCACGUCCACCACCAUAUUCACCACCACAUCCAGCACCAUGUCCAGCACCAUAUCCACCACCAGGUCCAAUACCAUAUCCACCACCAUGUCCACCACCACAUACACCACCAGGUCCAACACCACAUCCAACACCACAUCAAAGACCACAUACACCACCACAUCCAACACCAGGUCCAACACCACAUCCAACACCACAUCAAAGACCACAUACACCACCACAUCCAACACCAGGUCCAACACCACAUCCAACACUUCAUACACACCAGGUCCAAUACCACAUACACCACCAAGUCCAACACCA
ensembl:lncRNA